UAUUCUUAGCACCGAAAAGUUAUGUUUUUUGUAGUGAAAUGUACUCAAUAUAUGUAAAUUAAAGCAAGGCACGAAGUGUGAACUUCACACCAUUAUGUCAAUUUGUAAGUAUUAAAGCCGAGUGGAACGUUUGGAGGCGCAUACAAACCUUGUUGAAAGAUAAUAUUGGUAUGCAUCUAAGCAAUAUCUAAUAGCAAUAUCGCAAAACAGCUGCUCAUUUUUACAUGUACUUUAUUUUGCGACAAAGUUGAAACUACGCGAGACUAUUUCCAGUUUUCGUUUCUUCGCUGUAAAAUGAAAACAAUCACGGAUAAAUGAAGAACAGCUGCCUUAUUGCAAUAAUGCUACCCUUUUAUACAAAUACCACAUUAAAUAGUACCCUUAAUGUAUUUGGUAUGUUGUUACUUUAAAAUGCAUGUUUACUCUAGCUUAUUGAUAAUGUGGUAUAAAGCCAAAUUUAAAUUAAUUUUUGAGUUUUUUUAAUAGUAUUGGGUUAAUAUGUAACUAUUAAUUGGAAUGAUUUUCUGGGUUGUAACUGGCAUAGAGUUGAAACAUUUCACAACUCAGCUACCUCUUAAGAUUUAAAAUAAUUAAAAUGGAAAAUUAACACAAGUAAUAUACAGAAGCCGA